AAAAAAAAAAAAAAAGAAGAAGGAGAAAUAGUUUAAUAUUCUUUUGCAUUGACCAAAAAGAACAGUAUCCUAAUAUACUACCAAGAUGCCCAAUCAACUACCUUAUAAAUAUCCACAUGUUAGUGUUUGAGCCAAUGUCCCAAUAAAUUUUGAACGAAUGUUUGAAAAAUAACCAUAAGGUUUUAAUUAUCUAAAUAUUAAAGGCAUAAUAAUUGCUUAAUAACCAAAGAAAAAAAGUAUGAAUUGCAAAUAUUUUUUCAAAUUUUGGCCAAUUAUUUUUUUGCAAUUCAGUGCAAAACCUUAAUAGAUGUUUCUAUUAUAGCAGGGUUCCAUCUUGGUCGUAAUUAAAUCAUUGAGUUGAAUCCUAAGAUAAUAUCAAAAAGCAGGAAAGUGGGAGGUGAGAGGGAAUAAAAAUAUAAGUUCAUUUCCUUCCUCACUUUUUUGACAUUGUCUCUUUCUGAUUCUAUUCCAAGAGGAAAUAUGCCAUGUAGUUAUCCUAAUUCCUAACUAGCAAACAGCUCAACAAAUUAGAUGAUAAUUUGAGAUGAAACCCUAAUGGAGUCUGUAAUUGAAAAUUUUACUAACAUCAUUCCACUGAAUUACAAAAAUUGAAAACCUCCCAAAACCCAUUCUUUUCAUGGUCACUAACCCCAAUCCUAAAAAAGAUUAAUCAGAAAAGAGAGUCAAAGGUCAAUUAUAAGGGAAAAUAAGAAAACUAGAAAAAGUAGAAAGCUAGAAAGAGUAGAAAACAGGAAACUUAACAGGUGCUGUUCCAACUAGAAAACAGAGGACAAUGAAAAGAAUAAGAGAUAGGAUAUGUAUGAGAACUUACAGCUCUGUCAAAUUCCAACAUAA
rnacentral:misc_RNA from 1 species